GUUUUUUUUCAUGACGACCUAUAAAAAACGACAGUGUUACCCCUUAUGUUUUUUUUCAUGACGACCAAUAAAUAACAACAGUGUUACCCCUUAUGUUUUUUUUCAUGACGACCAAUAAAAAACGACAGUGUUACCCCUUAUGUUUUUUUUCAUGACGACCAAUAAAAAACAACAGUGUUACCCCGUAUGUUUUUUUUCAUGACGACCAAAGAAAAACAACAGUGUUACCCCUUAUGUUUUUUUUCAUGACCACCAAUAAAAAACAACAGUGUUACCCCUUAUGUUUUUUUUCAUGACGACCAACAAAAAACAACAGUGUUACCCCUUAUGUUUUUUUUCAUGACCACCAAUAAAAAACAACAGUGUUACCCCUUAUGUUUUUUUUCAUGACGACCAAUAAAAAACCACAUUACCCCUUAUGGUUUUUUUCAUGACGACCUAUAAAAAACGACAGUGUUACCCCUUAUGUUUUUUUUCAUGACGACCAAUAAAAAACGACAGUGUUACCCCUUAUGUUUUUUUUCAUGACGACCAAUAAAAAACAACAGUGUUAUCCCGUAUGUUUUUUUUCAUGACGACCAAAGAAAAACAACAGUGUUACCCCUUAUGUUUUUUUUCAUGACCACCAAUAAAAAACAACAGUGUUACCCCUUAUGUUUUUUUUCAUGACGACCAACAAAAAACAACAGUGUUACCCCUUAUGUUUUUUUUCAUGACCACCAAUAAAAAACAACAGUGUUACCCCUUAUGUUUUUUUUCAUGACGACCAAUAAAAAACCACAUUACCCCUUAUGGUUUUUUUCAUGACGACCUAUAAAAAACGACAGUGUUACCCCUUAUGUUUUUUUUCAUGACGACCAAUAAAUAACAACAGUGUUACCCCUUAUGUUUUUUUUCAUGACGACCAAUAAAAAACAACAGUGUUACCCCGUAAGUUUUUUUUCAUGACGACCAAAGAAAAACAACAGUGUUACCCCUUAUGUUUUUUUUCAUGACGACCAAUAAAAAACAACAGUGUUACCCCUUAUGUUUUUUUUCAUGAGGAUCAAUAAAAAACAACAGUAUUACCCCUUAUGUUUUUUUUCAUGACGACCAAUAAAAAACGACAGUGUUACCCCUUGUGUUUUUUUUCAUGACGACCAAUAAAAAACAACAGUGUUACCCCUUAUGUUUUCUUUCAUGACGACCAAUAAAAAACAA